CUACCGGGGUUUCUAAUCCUGUUCGCUCCCCACGCUUUCGCGCCUCAGCGUCAGUACCGUCCCAGAGAGCUGCUUUCGCCAUCGGUGUUCUUCCUGAUAUCUGCGCAUUUCACCGCUACACCAGGAAUUCCACUCUCCUCUUCCGGACUCUAGCCGAGUAGUUUCCAACGACCGCUGGAGGUUGAGCCUCCAGAUUUCACGUCGGACUUACUCGGCCGCCUACGCGCUCUUUACGCCCAAUAAAUCCGGACAACGCUAGCCCCCUACGUAUUACCGCGGCUGCUGGCAC
rnacentral:rRNA from 1 species